GCAUCCCUGACAAGAGGCUCUGGUGGUUAAAGCUGUCUGCCCUGGCAGAUCUGGAAGAGUGGGAGGAGCUGGAGAAGUUUUCUAAGAGCAAGAAAUCACCAAUUGGCUACCUGGUGGGAAGGGGACUAGAUAUACUGACUGUACAAAAUACCUAUGGGCAAGUGUCCCCUGGGCUUCUGCUCCUGAGAGAGGAAAUAGGCCUAGGCUUGUCUUCUCUGUCUUGCAAAGCCCUUUGUAGAGAUCUGCAUGAAGCAACAUAACAAACAUGAGGCCAAGAAGUAUGCUUCCAGAGUGGGCCCUGAGCAAAAGGUCAAGGCUUUGCUUCUUGUCGGGGAUGUGGCUCAGGCUGCAGAUGUGGCUAUUGAGCACCGGAAUGAAACUGAGCUGAGCCUCGUUUUGUCCCACUGCACUGGAACUACAGAUGGGGCCAUAGCUGACAAGAUUCAGCGGGCCAGAGCACAAGCCCAGAAGAAAUGAAGUGCCUGUCCCUAAAGGGGCUAGUUAAAGUCCAGGGGUGUCCAGAUGUAAAUAAAUUUGGAAUACUAAUUCGGAAC
rnacentral:lncRNA from 1 species